AGAAGGCUCUGGAUUCUAAGAUACUGAUGUACUUUUCCUGUGCUUGACCCAUAAUCGGCCCCCUUUAUUUUUAAGAAAACUUUAAAUUGUAGCUAUGGCAAUCAAGCCGUCACGCUCUGUCUUGUGGCGAACUGAACAUAAUACCAAAUCCAAUUAUUUUUAUGGAACUCUUUUUAUAUAAGUUUUUUCUUAUCAUUGCAGGCGAGAUAUUUACUUCUAUGUCCGCCCUGGCGAUGCCCCUGGCCAGAUCCUUUUCAAGGAGAAUAAUGUCGAUGGGCCUCUUCAUGAGGGUACAGUAUUCUACUCUGACUACAAGGACUGCAUCGUGGUGGAUUUGCCUUACGGAAAUUCCCAAGAAUGCAUGUUGUGGAUAUCUUGGGAAGCAAAGAACAACGUUCCUCAGCGUUGUACAGACGAAUAUGAAGACAAGUGCGAAGACGCUAAACUAGCAUUUGAUGAUGAGACCUGUAGCCCUUUUUUGAACGUCAAUGGAUCAUAGGACGGUUAUAACAGGGGCACAUGAUUAUUAUUCAUUGCACUACGGCACGUCGCCUGGUUAAUCUGUCCAAAAUAGGUUUCUCACGCUUUCAUGGCGUCUAGCACAAUUCUGUAAAACACCAACUACAUGCACAAUUUUGAUUGAUCCUGAGGAGCAAACUUUUGAAGCUUUCAACAAUAAAAUCGCUACUGA